CUCACUGGUUAGUACAGUGGUAAUGCGCUGGCCUCACAUUCGCGAGGUCGACGGAUCGAGCCUCGUCCAGGCAAGAGA